rnacentral:rRNA from 1 species
UUAAGCAUAUAACUAAGCGGAGGAAAAGAAACCAAACGGGAUUUCCCUAGUAACGGCGASCGAAAAGGAAUCCGUCCAGCGCCAAGUCUUGACACUGAGGUGCUCAAGAGAUGCGGCGUUAAUGUGUUGGCGCAUCGUGCGCUGUUCCGCCUUUCAAGUUCCUUUGACAGGGACGUCCAGAGCGGGUGCUAGGCCCAUAGAGAGGCGGAACCAGCGGGCGCCGGCCAACGCAUUCUAGAGUCAGGUUGCUUGAGAGUGCAGCUUAAAGUCGGUGGUAAACUCCAUCYAAGACUAAAUAUGACAGCGAGACCGAUAGCAAACAAGUACCGUGAGGGAAAGUUGCAAAGCACUUUGAAGAGAGAGUUCAACAGUACGUGAAACCACUGACAGGCAAACAGAUGGAACCACGAAGUGUGCGCCUCGCUCGAUUCAAUCAUCGCCGACGGUUGGCCGCGGCGGGCAGGGGUUUCUCGGAAUCCGGUCCGCCGAGGCCGGCAACCGGCGGCGGUGGUGCAUUUCGUGCCGAGGAUGCUAAGCCACGUUCGACCAGACAGUUGGGACGGCCGUAGGAUGGGAACCCGGAAAGGUGCCCGUCAGGUGCUUGCGCCUGGCGGCGUUAUAGUCCGGGAUCGGCACCGUCGCCUAACACACUGGUCGAYGCAAGUUCUCCGCAAGGAGUGAAACCGCAGCUGCCUGCGCCGGCUAGUCGUCGUUUCGGGGCGUUCUUUGCGUGCUCUUCGGUGCGAAAAGACGUUCCAACGAUGGCGGCUAGYCGGCGCUUGCGUGCUG